CUGCCUGUUACGCGAAUGCAGUAAACCAAGAAUUUGUGGAAGCAUGAUGUGGGAUGGAUAGAAAAAACGCAACCUUUACUAUGGCCACUAAUGACCCUGACCAUCUUGACCCCCCCCUGGGACCCCCCAGCCUGGUGACCUCAUUGAGAUCUUCAGACCAGCCUAUCAGCACUGGGCUCUGUACCUGGGAGAAGGUUACAUCAUCAACUUGACAC